UGCUGGAGGUAUCAGAAGUGCGAAUGCUGACAUAAGUAACGAUAAAGCGGGUGAAAAGCCCGCUCGCCGGAAGACCAAAGGGUUCCUGUCCAACGUUAAUCGGGGCAGGGUGAGUCGACCCCUAAGGCGAGGCCGAAAGGCGUAGUCGAUGGGAAACAGGUUAAUAUUCCUGUACUUGGUGUUACUGCGAAGGGGGGACGGAGAAGGCUAUGUUAGCCGGGCGACGGUUGUCCCGGUUUAAGCAUGUAGGCUGGUUAUCCAGGCAAAUCCGGAUAAUCAAGGCUGAGGUGUGAUGACGAGGCACUACGGUGCUGAAGUAACAAAUGCCCUGCUUCCAGGAAAAGCCUCUAAGC
rnacentral:rRNA from 1 species